rnacentral:rRNA from 1 species
AACGUAGGUGGCAAGCGUUGUCCGGAAUUACUGGGUGUAAAGGGAGCGCAGGCGGGUCGGCAAGUUGGAGGUGAAAGCUGUGGGCUCAACUCACAAACUGCCUUCAAAACUGCCGGUCUUGAGUGGUGUAGAGGUAGGCGGAAUUCCCGGUGUAGCGGUGGAAUGCGUAGAUAUCGGGAGGAACACCAGUGGCGAAGGCGGCCUACUGGGCACUAACUGACGCUGAGGCUCGAAAGCAUGGGUAGCAAACAGG